rnacentral:rRNA from 1 species
UAGCUAGUUGGUGAGGUAAGGGCUUACCAAGGCGACGAUCUGUAGCGGGUCUGAGAGGAUGAUCCGCCACACUGGAACUGAGACACGGUCCAGACUCCUACGGGAGGCAGCAGUGGGGAAUUUUGGACAAUGGGGGCAACCCUGAUCCAGCCAUGCCGCGUGAGUGAAGAAGGCCUUCGGGUUGUAAAGCUCUUUCGGCCGGGAAGAAAUCGCAUGGGCCAAUACCCUGUGUGGAUGACGGUACCGGAAUAAGAAGCACCGGCUAACUACGUGCCAGCAGCCGCGGUAAUACGUAGGGUGCGAGCGUUAAUCGGAAUUACUGGGCGUAAAGCGUGCGCAGGCGGUUUUGUAAGACAGGCGUGAAAUCCCCGGGCUUAACCUGGGAACUGCGUUUGUGACUGCAAGGCUAGAGUACGGCAGAGGGGGGUGGAAUUCCACGUGUAGCAGUGAAAUGCGUAGAGAUGUGGAGGAACACCAAUGGCGAAGGCAGCCCCCUGGGUCGAUACUGACGCUCAUGCACGAAAGCGUGGGUAGCAAACAGGAUUAGAUACCCUGGUAGUCCACGCCCUAAACUAUGUCAACUAGGUGUUGGGUGGGUAAAACCAUUUAGUACCGUAGCUAACGCGUGAAGUUGACCGCCUGGGGAGUACGGCCGCAAGGUUAAAACUCAAAGGAAUUGACGGGGACCCGCACAAGCGGUGGAUGAUGUGGAUUAAUUCGAUGCAACGCGAAAAACCUUACCUACCCUUGACAUGCCAGGAACUUGCCAGAGAUGGCUUGGUGCCCGAAAGGGAGCCUGGACACAGGUGCUGCAUGGCUGUCGUCAGCUCGUGUCGUGAGAUGUUGGGUUAAGUCCCGCAACGAGCGCAACCCUUGUCGUUAAUUGCCAUCAUUUAGUUGGGCACUUUAACGAGACUGCCGGUGACAAACCGGAGGAAGGUGGGGAUGACGUCAAGUCCUCAUGGCCCUUAUGGGUAGGGCUUCACACGUCAUACAAUGGUCGGUACAAAGGGUUGCCAAGCCGCGAGGCGGAGCCAAUCCCAGAAAGCCGAUCGUAGUCCGGAUUGCAGGCUGCAACUCGCCUGCAUGAAGUCGGAAUCGCUAGUAAUCGUGGAUCAGCAUGUCACGGCGAAUACGUUCCCGGGUCUUGUACACACCGCCCGUCACACCAUGGGAGCGGGUUCCGCCAGAAGUAGGUAGCCUAACCGCAAGGGGGGCGCUUACCACGGCGGGGUUCGUGACUGGGGUGAAGUCGUAACAAGGUAGCCGUAGGGGAACCUGCGGCUG